CCUACGGGUGGCAGCAGUGAGGAAUAUUGGUCAAUGGACGAGAGUCUGAACCAGCCAAGUAGCGUGAAGGAUGACUGCCCUAUGGGUUGUAAACUUCUUUUAUAUGGGAAUAAAAUGUUCCACGUGUGGGAUUUUGUAUGUACCAUAUGAAUAAGGAUCGGCUAACUCCGUGCCAGCAGCCGCGGUAAUACGGAGGAUCCGAGCGUUAUCCGGAUUUAUUGGGUUUAAAGGGAGCGUAGGUGGAUUGUUAAGUCAGUUGUGAAAGUUUGCGGCUCAACCGUAAAAUUGCAGUUGAAACUGGCAGUCUUGAGUACAGUAGAGGUGGGCGGAAUUCGUGAUGUAGCGGUGAAAUGCUUAGAUAUCACGAAGAACUCCGAUUGCGAAGGCAGUUCACUGGACUGCAACUGACACUGAGGCUCGAAAGUGUGGGUAUCAAACAGGAUUAGAUACCCGAGUAGUC
rnacentral:rRNA from 1 species